rnacentral:lncRNA from 1 species
AUUUUAACAACAAGAAAUAAAGUGAUUUCUAGAAUUUCUAGAAAUCGAAAAGAAUUUUCAGAAAUUCAUUUAUAAUAAGAGUUGAGUUUUUCAUUACAAAAAAAAAUUCUUUUUUUUAUACCAACAAUUAUAUAUUGCAACAAACUUUAAUCUUAAUAGGCUUCUUUGAGGAAAUGAGAUGAUCUAGCUUUAUCAUGUCUAUCCAAAAAUGAAUAGAUUUGAUAAAUACUAAUAACUCUUUAAUGAAGUAUUAGAAAGGAAAAAUCCAUUAGAUAAUGAACUA